UACGUAGGGUGCAAGCGUUAAUCGGACUUACUGGGCGUAAAGCGUGCGCAGGCGGUCUUGUAAGUUUGUCGUGAAAGCCCCGGGCUCAACCUGGGAAUUGCGAUGAAGACUGCAAGGCUAGAAUCUGGCAGAGGGGGGUAGAAUUCCACGUGUAGCAGUGAAAUGCGUAGAGAUGUGGAGGAACACCGAUGGCGAAGGCAGCCCCCUGGGUCAAGAUUGACGCUCAUGCACGAAAGCGUGGGGAGCGAACAGG
rnacentral:rRNA from 1 species